UUUGGUCCAAAACAACUUGGCCAAACAGGCUAUUAGUAUGUUUGUUCCAAGUAAGCUAAGUCAAUGCCCUGGUGCAGGUAAAUGUCUUAUCCACCAGACAAAUUCGCAUGAUUGAUACACACCUAUGGAGUAGAAAAGGGUGUCAAUGCUUAUGAUUCUGUUCAUGUGGUUGAUUCGUUAUAUCGUUCUAAGUAUGUCUUGUCCACUGUGUCUGUUGCUCGACAAGAUUCUUUGGUCAUUCCUGCGGGAGUUUCUAAAGGGGCAGCACCAAGCAAAUAUGAAGCCGCUGAACUCCAUAAUCCCACUGAUCAAAAGCAACCUUCUGAACCUUUACUUGAAAGGCAAAGCACAAAUGGACAUGAUUCACUGGACUUCCAAACUGCAAAAUCUCAUUUCUGUAAGCCAAUAUUGUUUUGGAUUGAUGGUGAUGGCACUGUCAACAACAUUGUCUACAGAAAACUUGUGUCUCGUGCUCUGGGUAUCAUAAUGCAGAAUCCAGGAAUUCUAGAGGAUAAUGUUAUUGACCAGAUGCAUGGUCUGAAUCCUCAGGUAUAUAUCCAUUUGUAAACUUUCCAUGAACAAACUAUUCAUCAGUGCCCCAGUGUACGUUUCCGAUUGACUGAACAAACAGAAGUCACCCCGGGAAAAGAUCAUAAUGAUUUCAUAGUGUGACCUGAAUUUUCUAUUUAUCAUAUGAACUGAAUUACAUGGUUACAGUUCUGGUAAAAUAAUAUCCGAGGACCUUCUCGGCCUUGUCCUCCCAAAAAUGAAUGUAAUUUAUUGCUCUUGUUCAAAACUUAUCAGUCUUAACUGCAUCUUCUUGCUGCCAAGUAUUUGUUGCUAUAAAGAGAUUUGCAAUCUAAGUUUAA